rnacentral:rRNA from 1 species
UUGAAGAGUUUGAUCAUGGCUCAGAUUGAACGCUGGCGGCAGGCCUAACACAUGCAAGUCGAGCGGUAGCACAGAGAGCUUGCUCUCGGGUGACGAGCGGCGGACGGGUGAGUAAUGUCUGGGAAACUGCCUGAUGGAGGGGGAUAACUACUGGAAACGGUAGCUAAUACCGCAUAAUGUCGCAAGACCAAAGUGGGGGACCUUCGGGCCUCAUGCCAUCAGAUGUGCCCAGAUGGGAUUAGCUAGUAGGUGGGGUAACGGCUCACCUAGGCGACGAUCCCUAGCUGGUCUGAGAGGAUGACCAGCCACACUGGAACUGAGACACGGUCCAGACUCCUACGGGAGGCAGCAGUGGGGAAUAUUGCACAAUGGGCGCAAGCCUGAUGCAGCCAUGCCGCGUGUGUGAAGAAGGCCUUCGGGUUGUAAAGCACUUUCAGCGGGGAGGAAGGCGAUAAGGUUAAUAACCUCAUCGAUUGACGUUACCCGCAGAAGAAGCACCGGCUAACUCCGUGCCAGCAGCCGCGGUAAUACGGAGGGUGCAAGCGUUAAUCGGAAUUACUGGGCGUAAAGCGCACGCAGGCGGUCUGUCAAGUCGGAUGUGAAAUCCCCGGGCUCAACCUGGGAACUGCAUUCGAAACUGGCAGGCUAGAGUCUUGUAGAGGGGGGUAGAAUUCCAGGUGUAGCGGUGAAAUGCGUAGAGAUCUGGAGGAAUACCGGUGGCGAAGGCGGCCCCCUGGACAAAGACUGACGCUCAGGUGCGAAAGCGUGGGGAGCAAACAGGAUUAGAUACCCUGGUAGUCCACGCCGUAAACGAUGUCGAUUUGGAGGUUGUGCCCUUGAGGCGUGGCUUCCGGAGCUAACGCGUUAAAUCGACCGCCUGGGGAGUACGGCCGCAAGGUUAAAACUCAAAUGAAUUGACGGGGGCCCGCACAAGCGGUGGAGCAUGUGGUUUAAUUCGAUGCAACGCGAAGAACCUUACCUGGUCUUGACAUCCACAGAACUUUCCAGAGAUGGAUUGGUGCCUUCGGGAACUGUGAGACAGGUGCUGCAUGGCUGUCGUCAGCUCGUGUUGUGAAAUGUUGGGUUAAGUCCCGCAACGAGCGCAACCCUUAUCCUUUGUUGCCAGCGGUCCGGCCGGGAACUCAAAGGAGACUGCCAGUGAUAAACUGGAGGAAGGUGGGGAUGACGUCAAGUCAUCAUGGCCCUUACGACCAGGGCUACACACGUGCUACAAUGGCAUAUACAAAGAGAAGCGACCUCGCGAGAGCAAGCGGACCUCAUAAAGUAUGUCGUAGUCCGGAUUGGAGUCUGCAACUCGACUCCAUGAAGUCGGAAUCGCUAGUAAUCGUAGAUCAGAAUGCUACGGUGAAUACGUUCCCGGGCCUUGUACACACCGCCCGUCACACCAUGGGAGUGGGUUGCAAAAGAAGUAGGUAGCUUAACCUUCGGGAGGGCGCUUACCACUUUGUGAUUCAUGACUGGGGUGAAGUCGUAACAAGGUAACCGUAGGGGAACCUGCGGUUGGAUCACCUCCUU